AGCAGCCGCGGUAAUUCCAGCUCCAAUAGCGUAUAUUAAAGUUGUUGCAGUUAAAAGCUCGUAGUUGAAUUUCGAGAUCAGUACGCUGGUCGUGCCUUCGGUAUGUACUGGUGUCACUGGUUUCUCCCUUCUGAAGAACCGUUAUGUCAUUAAGUUGGUGUGGCGGGGAAUCAGGACUGUUACUUUGAAAAAUUAGAGUGUUUAAAGCAGGCUCGCGCUUGAAUACAUUAGCAUGGAAUAAUGAAAUAGGACGUUUGACCCUAUUUUGUUGGUUUCUAGGAUCGACGUAAUGAUUAAUAGGGAUAGUUGGGGGCAUUAGUAUUCAAUUGUCAGAGGUGAAAUUCUUGGAUUUAUUGAAGACUAACUACUGCGAAAGCAUUUGCCAAGGAUGUUUUCAUUAAUCAAGAACGAAAGUUAGGGGAUCGAAGACGAUCAGAUACCGUCGUAGUCUUAACCAUAAACUAUGCCGACUAGGGAUCGGAUGAUGUUAAUUUUUAAUGUACUCA
rnacentral:rRNA from 1 species